ensembl:snoRNA
CCCCUCUUGCAGUUCUUAAGCAUGAUGAUUAUGUGUUCACCCAUUCCUGUGUAAGAGGUGCCGUGCCACCUUCCAACCUUGUUACAACAUAGGCAUAUUACCCGUCUGACA